CCCUUAGAUGUUCGGGGCCGCACGCGCGCUACACUGAAGGAAUCAGCACGUCUUUCUCCUUGUCCGAAAGGACUGGGUAACCCGCUGAACCUCCUUCGUGCUAGGGAUUGGGGCUUGUAAUUCUUCCCCAUGAACGAGGAAUUCCCAGUAAGCGCGAGUCAUAAGCUCGCGUUGAUUACGUCCCUGCCCUUUGUACACACCGCCCGUCGCUACUACCGAUGGGAUGGUUUAGUGAGAUCCUCGGAUUGGUCCCGGAGCGGCCUCUGGUCGUGCCGGAGUGCCGAAAAGAAUGUCGAACUUGAUCAUCUAGAGGAAGUAAAAGUCGUAACA
rnacentral:rRNA from 1 species